rnacentral:rRNA from 1 species
GUUACAGCAGCCGCGGUAAUACGUAGGUGGCAAGCGUUGUCCGGAAUCAUUGGGCGUAAAGAGCGCGUAGGUGGCUUGUCAGGUCUGAUGUGAAAACCUGGGGCUCAACCCCAGGCCUGCAUCGGAAACCGACUUGCUAGAGUCUGGGAGAGGAGAGUGGAAUUCCUGGUGUAGCGGUGAAAUGCGUAGAUAUCAGGAGGAACACCGGUAGCGAAGGCGGCUCUCUGGAACAGCACUGACGCUGAGGCGCGAAAGCUAGGGGAGCAAACAGGAUUAGAUACCCGAGUAGUCC